rnacentral:lncRNA from 1 species
CUGAAUCCCAAAUAUUCUCUGAAUCCCGCAAGAACUCAACGGGAACUCAAGGCGCCUGAGGCAGCAGGAUACGCCCUAUUCCUAGCAGGAAUCACCUUAAACCUGGAAACGCCCUAAACCCAGAAAGCCCUAAAUCCCGAUCCGCCCUAAACCCUGAUCCACCCUAAACCUGGAUCCGCCCUGGUCCUUGAGCAAGGUCACCUUUCAUGCAAAGUCACUGCAAAUGACCUGGGUCCACCAUGGAGAGUCCUUCCUCUAAGCAACAUGGAGUAGGCUGACAAAGAAAUUGCGAUGCGUCAUUCCUACUUGGCAAUGGCUCUCAGCAGUGUCCUCUUCCCUCUUCCCAUCUGGGUUGAUUAGUGACUGAAUGGUUCAGGAAGGGCCACAUGUGGAAUUUGUGGAAACUUGCUAGUGGAAGUUGCCUUCUCCCACCCAAGCACUCUUAAAUUUUAUUUCUAGCUUUGAAGUGAUUUAUCACUUGAGCCUGACUUAUCAGCAUUUUCUCUUCAUUUCUUAAAAUUAUGAACAAUGUAUAUAUCAUUCUCUAAUUGCAGGCCACUAGUGAGGAAAGCAAGUGCACAUCAGCUGCCCAGGGAUCAAGAUUUGGAUUGUUUCAAACCUGUAUUACAUUCACCCAGCAUGUUUAUUGAAAUUAUUGCUUUAUGGCAUGGCUAAGCUUUGCUUUUCUUAUCCUUGAACAUGAUCUGAUAAGUUAAAAAGACCAGGACAUGGAGGGUUGCCUCCUUUUUCUUGAUGCUUCUUAAUUGUCAAAGAUUUUGGCAACAAAACUCCAAAUACUUAAAACUGUCACUAACAAGCUGGAUGUGGCAAUACAUGACUGUAGUCUCAGUUUCUGGAGAGGCUGAGGCAGUAGGAUUACCAGAGCCCAGGAGGUUAUGGCCAUCCUGACCAACAUAAUGAGAUCCU